rnacentral:rRNA from 1 species
CAGGCAUGGAGAUUAUGGGAAGAGGGGAAAGCAACUGGACUAGUGGACUCUUCAAUUGUUGCGAGUUGCCCGCCUCAUGAAGCUUUACGAUGCAUUCAUGUGGGACUCUUGUGUGUUCAAGACCGUCCCAGUGAUAGGACACUAAUGUUAUUGGUUCUGUCAAUAAUAGAGAAUGGAAGUGGACUACUCCCAACUCCAAAGCAACCUAUAUAUUUUACUACAAGUAAUUGCGAAGGUGAAGAAGCAAGGGAGAACAUGGAGAAUUCGUUGAAUGCAAUUAGUAUCACAACACUUGAGGGUCGUUAG